rnacentral:rRNA from 1 species
CCUACGGGCUGCAGCAGUGGGGAAUAUUGGGCAAUGGGCGCAAGCCUGACCCAGCAACGCCGCGUGAAGGAAGAAGGCCCUCGGGUUGUAAACUUCUUUUGUCAGGGACGAAGAAAGUGACGGUACCUGACGAAUAAGCCACGGCUAACUACGUGCCAGUAGCCGCGGUAAUACGUAGGUGGCAAGCGUUAUCCGGAUUUACUGGGUGUAAAGGGCGUGUAGGCGGGAUUGCAAGUCAGAUGUGAAAUUCCAGGGCUCAACCCUGGACCUGCAUUUGAAACUGUAGUUCUUGAGUGAUGGAGAGGCAGGCGGAAUUCCGUGUGUAGCGGUGAAAUGCGGAGAUAUACGGAGGAACACCAGUGGCGAAGGCGGCCUGCUGGACAGUAACUGACGCUGAGGCGCGAAAGCGUGGGGAGCAAACAGGAUUAGAUACCCCGGUAGUC